rnacentral:rRNA from 1 species
UACGUAGGGUGCGAGCGUUGUCCGGAAUUAUUGGGCGUAAAGAGCUUGUAGGCGGUUUGUCGCGUCUGCCGUGAAAAUCCGGGGCUCAACCCCGGACUUGCGGUGGGUACGGGCAGACUAGAGUGUGGUAGGGGAGACUGGAAUUCCUGGUGUAGCGGUGAAAUGCGUAGAGAUCAGCAGGAACACCCGUGGCGAAGGCGGCCACCUGGGCCUAACCUGACGCUGAGGCGCGAAGGCUAGGGGAGCGAACGGG